GGGUGUGAUGAUAAUGAUGUCGCCCCAAUCUUAGUGCCCGCAGCCUGGGCAUCAGCGGUGAUGAUCGACUUAGCCAAAACAAUUAUCUGACCC
rnacentral:snoRNA from 1 species